rnacentral:rRNA from 1 species
UACGGGGGGGGCAAGCGUUGUUUGGAAUUACUGGGCGUAAAGGGCUCGUAGGCGGCCAACUAAGUCAGACGUGAAAUCCCCCGGCUUAACCUGGGAACUGCGUCUGAUACUGGAAGGCUUGAGUGCGGGAGAGGGAUGUGGAAUUCCAGGUGUAGCGGUGAAAUGCGUAGAUAUCUGGAGGAACACCGGUGGCGAAGGCGGCAUCCUGGACCGACACUGACGCUGAGGCGCGAAAGCUAGGGUAGCAAACGGG